UGAUGUGCGGUUGCCAUCUCUCUCCAAGCACCGUUUUUCAUCCACCCGGAUGUGAGGCGGGUCAUGUGACCGGUUCUGGAUGACGUCAGCAAGUCUACUACCGCUUUCCCGCUUCUUCAACCGGAAGUCUCGCUCGCACAGUGCGCGGGGCGAACAGACCAGGGUCGCUUUAGAGACUUAAAGGAAAUGGAGGCGAAAAAAAGACUUUUAGUCGACUUGAUACCAGCGAUCCCUUGGUGACCAUGAACCCCUUCGCUGGAAGUGGGCUUAACUUCCAACCGAUGAGCUGACGCCGGAAGUCGAGGCGUGCGAUGAUGCAACAACGUUUCUUCGCCACGCGCCAACCCGCUGCAGCGCAACACUUGACUUCCGCCCUUACUUCCUGUGGCGUCUAUACAGAGGGUGACAAAUGGCUCUAUUGGCAGCAUGUGUGUUGACUCCAGUCUCUGAGGGAAGUCACGCCAGCUGCAUGGACGGCGCAAGCUCCGCUGAUCUCCGCUGAUCUCCGCUGAUCUCCGCUGAUCUCC